UACGUAGGGUGCGAGCGUUGUCCGGAAUUAUUGGGCGUAAAGAGCUCGUAGGCGGUGUGUCACGUCGUUCGUGAAAACCUGCAGCUUAACUGUGGGCGUGCGGUCGAUACGGGCAUCACUGGAGUUCGGCAGGGGAGACUGGGAAUUCCUGGUGUAGCGGUGAAAUGCGCAGAUAUCAGGAGGAACACCGAUGGCGAAGGCAGGUCUCUGGGCAUUAACUGACGCUGGAGGAGCGAAAGCAUGGGGAGCGAACAGG
rnacentral:rRNA from 1 species